CUCCCAGCCCAUUACGAAAAUGGUCAGGAAUCACAAGGCUGAGCAGGGAAACUGAGGCACGGAGCAGCAAAGCAGCAUCCCCCAGGAGCAGAUCAUAGUUCUGCCUCAUCCCCAGCACCAUCCUGAGCUGCCCCUUGGAGGAAAGGCUGGAUGGAAUCCUUGCUGAGCCAGACCCAGGUCCUGUCUCUCGGGGAGCAGCAGGCAAAGCAGUUUUGGGGGGUACUGAGGGCACACAGCCCUCAGGGCCUGCGCUGGCCGUGUGGGUGAAUUCCUUCAAGCUGCUGGGUGCUCCUCGCAGCUGCAGAACAAAUUCAAUAACAAUACUCUGAGCAAUGCCUUUUUAAUAGGCACGAGGUGAAAAGAACCCGACGAGUCAAUAUUUGCGGAUGAAAACAAAAUAAGCCGAGCUGUUAGCACAGAGGAAUGCGAGGGAGGCCGGAGGCUGCCGGGCUAUUGCCUGUGGUCUCUGAGAGCUCUCCUCCAAACCUCCUGCAAGGGUCCCUUGAGAGAGCAUCUUCCCCCUGAGCCAGCACUGUGAGGCCAUGGCAAGAAGCAUCCAUCCCUAAUCAGCAGGAGCAAGAUGUGCCUGGAAAUCACCCAGAAAUCAGGAAAUGCUCAGAUGGACAUGACCCAUGCAGUGUUUGUGGAAACUUGUCCCUCUCCUUGAAAUGCUUAUGAAGCCGUACAAGGAAAAUUAGCAGUACUUUGCCAAGCUGGAAGAUGUGGAGAAAGAUGUUCAGUCAGAGAAGAAGGAGACAGCAGACCCACCAUCCUCCUGGAAUCAAAAGGCACAGCCAAACAUGUCACAGCUCUGUCUUUCACUGAGAUGAUUCCCAGCUGCCAAAAUGUACUGGAAGAGGUCCACCUGCCUGUGAGCCUGUCACCAAAAGCUGUGUCUGAGCAUGGCCUCAUGCUGCGUGACCCCAGGCAGUCUGGAGGAGUUCUCAGGGCGCUGGGGAGAAGGAAUUCCUUAGCUCAGUUGUCAGCCAUGAAGGUGAACAGGUGACCUUUAUUGUCCAUGCCUUUGUUUCCCAGAUGGAUGCAGCAGGCCAAAGGCCACCCCAUGUCCCUUUUCUCCAGACCCACCAGCUCCUGGAUGAUUCUGAAAGUGGGUUAUGGGAGAGAUGUUUGGAUGCUGCUCGGGAUGUCUGCAGUCACAGUAACAGUAAAUCCUGACCCGGUUACACAGGUGAGAGCCAUUCAAAGGCAGCACUGAUGCACCAUGGAGAGGUGAGACCCCCAUCCAGGCCAUUCCCAGUGCGAACUGGCAGAAUCCAAGGUGCUCAGAAGGCCCACAAACCUCUGUCUAAGAUAGGAAAUUUAUGGCCAACAAUCUGGUUCACAAGGGAGGUACAACAGGCCCUGAAUGGGUCCUGAUGAACCCGGACAUCUCCCUGGUGUACACACAGACAUGGAAGGACAGGCAACAAAUACAUGUUGCAGAAGGAAAAGCUUGGACUAGAUAUUGGGGAAAAAUUUACCCUGAAGAUAGUUCAACACAGAGGACGAGCGAUCUGGGGGAAUAUCCAUCCUUGGGGACAUUCAGAACUUCACUGGACAAAGCCCUGGGCAAUCUGAUCUAAGCUGACUUUGCUUUGGGGCUGUUGGACCAAAGAUCUUCUGAGGUUCCCAAUAACUUGAAUUAUCCUGUGACCUACAUCCAAAGCACUACCCAAGAUUUUCUUGCAUCAUCUAGAGUUCAAUGAGCCCAUCUGGUUUUCUGCUUCUAAAUCAGCAGGAUCCUAAUUCUCCCUUAUGGUUUAAUCCCUUCAUUCAUUUGGCAUGAUCCUGUAGUGUGUGGCUGGAGGAAAAGGAAACAGCGUAGCAGAGAAAAGAGAGAAAUGCAACAAGUGCCCCUGAGAUUAGUAUAUUACUCCUCUUCUUUCCUGUUUGCCUUCCUGCUGUUCUGCUUCCAUGAAAAUUUGUGGGAUUUCAUCCAAAGCUCUAGAAUCUCCCCUCCAGCAGUGUCUAGGGAUGGAUGCUUAGAAAGAAAAUAAAGGAAACAGUGAGCACAGAAUGGUUCUCUCCCUGCUGCUCUCUGCCAACCUCUGGCAGCUGAAGCCUGAAGGACAUCUGAAGUUAAAGGCCACAUCCACACUUGAGCACUUGGUAGUUACCACCUGAGGACCUGCCAGCAGAGUGAGAGCCAUGAGAGAGUGAGUUAUACAGGAUAACCCAGGGAAAAGUGUUUUGUCUUCUUCAUGUGAAACAGGCUGUCCAAUUCUCUCACUGGACACCUCCCUGUGCCCUCUCACCUCAUCAAUGCUGCCCUGGCAAAGUUCAUCUGAGCUGUGGAUAUCUGGGGAGCUGGAUGGUGUGUCCAAGUAUCCUGUGUUUCCUCAGAGGUGUGAGUGAGCUGAAGCACAGCUUCAUGGAGGAAAACAAUCUACACACAUACUCACUGCUUUUAUCCACCAGUGCAGCAUGUGGUGGUGGUAGGAAUUCCCUCUCCAUGGCAUUUUGGGGUACUCAAAGUUCAUACAGCUGCAAGGGGAGAGAGAGGGGAUGCCUCGCCUUCCCCCAUGCUGACACACAGGGCUGGCUUCGAAAAGAUGUCAGUGGAGUUUGGAAAAGAAGCAGAAAUAUGUAUUUCCCUAAUAAGCUGAAAACUUCAAUAAAUGUUUUCCCUCAGUAGGAUGUAGCUGAGGAAUCUGGGGACCAUUGCUGGAGCCAGCCUCUCUGAGAGGAGAAAGUGAAAAGCCAGUCCAAGUGCAACAAAUGCCUGGACAAUAAAAGGAUCUGAAGGGGUUCAAGGGUAGGAGGGAUUUUUUGUCUCUCUGUUGUUGUUUCUUGAUUAAUAUUUACAUGUCAGAACCAGCACAGCACACCUCCAGAUCACACAUGAGAUCUUUUUCUCCUUACUUGGGCAACAGAACGUAUGGGCAGGACAAUUGUGCAAACAAAGAUGUGUGCCAAGCCCACCGCACCAAAGGGAAGAAAUAAAAAUACCAGUUAUUUAAAACACGUGUAUUAACAGAGGGGUUGACCUCUCCCCUGCCUUUGUGCUCUGCUGACAUCGAGGAGGGAGAUGAAAAACCUCGCUGGAGCAUCAGACUGGCCCCAGCCUCUGGGGAUGGAGGGGCUUUGCUGCCCAUGGGCUCUGUGGGGCACCUGCUCCAUCUCUGACUGUCACCCCUGGUGGCACAUGCAGCUCUCCACCCCAGCUCCUGGGGAGCAGAGCACAGCUGCAGGAGAAGCUGGUAGAAAUCCCCACCCUUCCCUAGCAGGCAGAAGUACAGCUUUGGUUCAAACAGAGGGGGAAGGCAAGUGGCUUCAGUGUUGUGAUACCUGUGGGAUGCUUCUCACGUGGCUGAGCCUCAUCUGCAUGUUGUUGCAGCAUCUCCUGGGUACAGGGACAAUGACAGCCACAAAAGGUCAGGAUUCAGACAAAUCAACUUCACAUCAGCAAGGCUGUGGCUCUUUCUCCUUCUCCUGCCGCUCUCUGCAUCCUUCUUCCCUGCCUCCCCUCCUCAAAUGCAUCCAAAAGGUUACAGCCCAAAUGUUCCAAAUUUAGGGAUGAGCAGUGUUCCCAGCAUUUUUGCUUUGUAAGGGGGAUAGAGUGAUACAGAAUAGCAAGGGGAUGCUGUCACCCAGCCCCUUCCCACUGCUUGGCUUUGCACCAGGUCUCCAAAUCCUGAAGAGAAGUGCCAGGUCCUGCCUGGGGGUCCUCCACUCUGUGAGCAAUUACAGUGACCUGAUCUGGGUGCUCCAGCACCACCACGAAGGGGUGCAGUGCCCUCGGGGGGGAAAUGGGAGUCAGAAGGUCAGAAUGUCUUAACAGCUUGUUUGAAAGCAGAGUCAAGUCCUUCAAACGAAAGCUCUUGGGAGAGAGGAGAUGUUCUGCCCAUCCUUCCCUCAAGUGUCAGGCACAUUUCAGCAGUUUAGGAAUGACACUGUCCUCCCACCACCAAACUGAGCUUCACAGCCCUGGCCACGACAUCAGCCCUGGACCUGGUUCUGGCAGAGCUGAGCAUCUGUGCUUGAUUCAGACAGGGGCAGCCAGGAUCAGGCCUCAGGUGUGUGUUCCCAGAGGCACUUUCAGCUGCCAUUUCUUGGUUCAGCCUUCCCAGGUUUAAGCUAUGUGUUUUUCCCUAUGCAGACCAAAGAAAGGGUUAAACCGAGCUUACCUUUUCACGAUCAGGACAAGACAGUCACUGGGCUGGAAAGGGAGCAAGAUCCAGCCGCCUUCUCUCCCCUUUCCAUCCCAUUUCUCUUUCCACCCUGCACAUCCCACUGGUUGCUCAGUGAUGAGCUGUGAGAGGGGACAACAUCCUUUUGUCCUGCCCAUCCUUCCCAGGUCCUGACACCUGCCAAGGGCAGGAGGGAAAAACUGAACACAGGGGAUUUUCACCCACCCUUCCGAAAGGCACCUAGGGCUGAGGCCACUGGCUUCCAGUGAGAUUCCAGGUCUGCGUUUCCCCUGUAUCCAGCUCCUGUUUAAAGUCGAGGGGGAAUUGUCCCCAGAGGUGUGCAAAGUUGCUGGGUUUUUU